rnacentral:rRNA from 1 species
UGGGGAAUAUUGGACAAUGGGCGGAAGCCUGAUCCAGCAAUGCCGCGUGUGUGAAGAAGGCCUUAGGGUUGUAAAGCACUUUUGUUAGGGAGGAAGGAGUAUGCGCUAAUACCGCAUGCAACUGACGUUACCUAAAGAAUAAGCACCGGCUAACUCUGUGCCAGCAGCCGCGGUAAUACAGAGGGUGCAAGCGUUAAUCGGAAUUACUGGGCGUAAAGGGUGCGUAGGUGGAUACGUAAGUCAGAUGUGAAAUCCCCGGGCUUAACCUGGGAACUGCAUUUGAUACUGCGAAUCUAGAGUAUGGUAGAGGUAAGUGGAAUUUCCGGUGUAGCGGUGAAAUGCGUAGAUAUCGGAAGGAACAUCAGUGGCGAAGGCGACUUACUGGACUGAUACUGACACU